UUUUCGGAGGCUGCCAGCGUCCCACACCAGCCGCAGGUGAAAACCGGCAGAAAGACAUUAAGAGAUUUUCCUGCAGUCACUGCUGGCAGAUGAUAGAGCCAGGAUUUGAAAGCAGGCAGCCUGGCUCCAGACCCUGUGCUCUUAACUCCCGUUUUGCAUCAAGAACAGAAUCCUAUGAAAGGCUUGCACAGUGCUUGGUACUGAGUAGGCACUCCGAUAGCAGCAUCAAGGAGCAUUGUGUACAUGCAGAAGUGCACAGUACCUGGAGUGAAACUGCUUGUGUUCGAUUUCUGAUACCAUUCAUAACUGGCUGUGUGAUCUCAAAUAAGAAAACUGAAGAACCAGCUGGGCGCGGUAGCUCACGCCUGUAAUCCCAGCACUUUGGGAGGCUGAGGCGGGUGGAUUACCUGAGAACCUCUAAAAUGCAGACCUCCAGCUCUAGAUCUGUGCACCUGAGUGAAUGGCAGAAGAAUUACUUCGCAAUUACAUCUGGCAUAUGUACCGGACCGAAGGCAGAUGCAUACCGUGCACAGAUAUUACGCAUUCAGUAUGCAUGGGCAAACUCUGAGAUUUCCCAGGUCU
rnacentral:lncRNA from 1 species